CACCGCAUCUCCACCACCUUCCCUCCCCCCUUUAUCUUUCGGCCUCCAGAAAACCCUAGCCCCCUCUCAUCUUCCUCCCUCGCGCCGCCACCAUCUCUCUUCCCCUUUCCUUCUUCUCUCUCAUGAACAGAAACACGCAAGGAAAACCACCAAUGACCGUCCCCACAGUACUCUCGUCGCCCCGCCGUUCCGUUCGACCCCGCGCCAAGCCAAGAGUACCAGGAGAUGCGGCUCGUUCUCCUCUUCAACCUGGUACAAGGAAUCGAGCCGGGACGCUCCCAGUCGCCACCAAGCUCGCCGUUUCUCCUUCGACUCCUGCAGCGUUUAUCGUUGAUUUCGGCCACUCGGCUCCUCCCUCGGCGACCUUGAACACACCACCGUGCUCCUGGAGCUCAUCGCCGGCGACACUCCGGUGCCUCCCCGGCCAACCCACCAACCUCAUCUGGACCGCCAUGCCAAGGCGCACCCCCGACGCCAACUCCCCCGCCUCGGUUCGCCCUGAAUCGCCGGAUUCGUGGUCGACUAGAUCUCAGUCCGCCAUGGCCGUUCUGGCCCCAAGCUCCGCUUUGCCUGCUUUCAAAAGAAGGUGUCCCAGAUAACAUACAAAAAUCUUGCAACAGCGCAGUGGCGGGUCCCUUUCAUCAGCCUCACACGGAGCCACGUCUGCGUCUCUGCCUCGUCAGCGCCUCGUCACCUCCCUGGUCCCGCGGGUCAGCCGCACGGGCUAGCUUCUCUUCGGUAUAAAUUGUUUCCCUCUUUUCCCUGUUUUUCUGAAAAUGGCAGGAAAUGUAUAAAUCUUGCUAAAAUCAUAUCUUUAAAUCUAUAACUCCAAAUGCAGAGUGUUUUAUAUGAAAAUUGAUCAGAAAAAUGAGAGGAACAUUAAUAUGCCAUCCAUUCAUCUGUUUGCAUCUCGCAUCAUGUCGUGACGUGAUAGUUUGUGCAUUUCACCUCACAUAUAUGCGUAGUAUUUUGGAUCUCCAACUUUGGUUUUCCCCGCUCCGUUUAACUUUGAAGUAGCGCACCCUUGCCAUGAUAUGACAUGCUAAUCAACCAUUAACUUUGUCGGUAGAAAUGCAACUCCAACCUUAAUUUGAUUGUCCGGGGUUCCGACUCCGAUUAAUAUGGAUAAGUUGCACUGCACCAUCGUUGCCAUGCCAUGCAUAUCAACUUGAGCAUGCCGGUUCUUCUUCUGUA